rnacentral:rRNA from 1 species
AUACAGAGGUCCCAAGCGUUGUUCGGAUUCACUGGGCGUAAAGGGUGCGUAGGUGGCGAAGUAAGUCGGAUGUGAAAUCUCCGAGCUCAACUCGGAAACUGCAUUGGAAACUACUUUGCUUGAGGGUUGGAGGGGGGACUGGAAUACUUGGUGUAGCAGUGAAAUGCGUAGAUAUCAAGUGGAACACCAGUGGCGAAGGCGAGUCCCUGGACAACUCCUGACACUGAGGCACGAAAGCUAGGGGAGC